rnacentral:lncRNA from 1 species
CUGACAUCAUCCUUCCAUUGCAUUUUGUAGAUUAUGAUAACUUUCAUCGUCCAGGUUGUCCCAAAAUAAUGCGUCAUCGCUGAGGUAGGAAGAUGGUUCUGGUAUAUCUACACUGAGUUCGGUUAUAAAAUCCUGUUCUUCAGAAGUAAUAAAAGGGUUUGGAACAAUAAUGUGUUCUAAAGGUUUUACUCUCCAUAUAGACAUGGUUUUUGUUUCGCCAAUGAGAUGAAAUAAUUUAUUCCGAGUUGGUCUAAGAUCAUAGAUUUGAAAAGCUCUAAAGCGAGUAAAAAAUUCUGGAAAUUCAUCUGAACGGGUCAUUUCCCAUUCUGGUUCUUGUUGAGGGAUGAG